ensembl:misc_RNA Metazoa_SRP Metazoan signal recognition particle RNA
GCUGGGUAUGGUGGCACAUACCUGUAAUCCCAGCUUCUCAGGAGGCUGAGGCAGGAGAAUCACUUGAACCCAGGAGGCAGAGGUUGCCAUGAGCGGAGACUGCCAUUGCACUCUAACCUGGGUGACAGAGUGAGACUCUGUCUCAA